GGAACCUCAGCCACAAACUUCUGGUUGCCACCUUACUGGUUUGGAUUCUCCUCUCUUGCCUGUUGCCCUGCAUACCUCACACUGAUAGAACCUGAGGUCUCAGAGAUGUGGCAGUUUUGCAUUCUGUGCAUCACUGUACUCACGGCUUCUGUGGCUACAGACCCCACAAUGACUUUUCUGGAGCAAAAACCAAGGUGGGGUCUAGUACCACGUGGCCAAGCUGUGAACCUGCGCUGCAUCUUGAAGAAUUCCCAGUAUCCCUGGAUGAGUUGGUAUCAGCAGGAUCUUCAAAAGCAACUACAGUGGCUCGUUUCUCUGCGGAGUCCCGGGGACAAAGAGGUCAAAUCUCUUCCUGGGGCUGAUUACCUGGCCACACGGGUCACUGAUACAGAGCUGAGGCUGCAAGUGGCUAACAUGAGCCAGGGCAGAACCUUGUACUGCACGUGCAGUACAGACACAGCGUCAACUGGCCAUGGAAUUCCCCAUGAAAACCUGUCAGUUAAAACGCAGUGGCUGUUAGUGAAGCUGUGCAAGUGA